ACAGGUAGAGAUUCCUGUACCAGUGCUAAUUGUUUAACCGAUGGGGUGACACAGAAGGAUAGGGAAUCGCACGAAUGGAAAUGUGCGGCCAAGCAGUGAGUGUGAGAAGUAGGCAAAUCCGCUUCUCGCGAAGCAUGAGCUGUGAUGGGGAAGGAAAUUAAGUACGGAAGUUCCUGAUUUCACGCUGUCAAGAAAAGCCUCUAGGAAGAGUAGUA
rnacentral:rRNA from 1 species